CGUGGAGAACCUGCCGUAUACUGGGGGAUAACACUUAGAAAUAGGUGCUAAUACCGCAUAAGCGCACAGCUUCGCAUGAAGCAGUGUGGAAAACAAAAAGCUAAAGCUUUUGGUGGUAUACGAUGGAUCCGCGUCUGAUUAGCUAGUUGGCGGGGUAAAGGCCCACCAAGGCGACGAUCAGUAGCCGGCCUGAGAGAGUGAACGGCCACAUUGGGACUGAGACACGGCCCAAACUCCUACGGGAGGCAGCAG
rnacentral:rRNA from 1 species